rnacentral:rRNA from 1 species
AGAGUUUGAUCCUGGCUCAGGACGAACGCUGGCGGCGUGCCUAACACAUGCAAGUCGAACGGACUGAUUUGAGAGCUUGCUCUUGAAGAAAGUUAGUGGUGGACGGGUGAGUAACGCGUGAGUAACCUGCCUUUCAGAGGGGGAUAACAUCCUGAAAAGGAUGCUAAUACCGCAUAACAUCUUAGUAUCGCAUGGUACUGAGAUCAAAGGAGCAAUCCGCUGAGAGAUGGACUCGCGUCUGAUUAGCUAGUUGGCGGGGUAAAGGCCCACCAAGGCGACGAUCGGUAGCCGG